AGUGUGUUCAUCACACAUGGAGCACGAGGUCAGACAACUUCAGAAACUGAAAACGCAACAGCCAGUCAAGCUGCAAGCUGUGGUGGUUACUUGUAUAACAGCAGCGACACAUUUUACAGCCCCAACUAUCCAA